GAUGAAGAACGUAGCGAAAUGCGAUACUUGGUGUGAAUUGCAGAAUCCCGUGAACCAUCGAGUCUUUGAACGCAAGUUGCGCCCGAAGCCACUAGGCCGAGGGCACGCCUGCCUGGGCGUCACACGCCGUUGCCCCCCCAUCUACUCCUUCGGGAUUGCGGGGGGGCGGAUGAUGGCCUCCCGUGCGCCUAGCCGCGCGGUUGGCAUAAAUACCAAGUCCUCGGCGACGCACGCCACGACAAUCGGUGGUUGCGAAACCUCGGUUGCCCGUCGUGUGCGUUCGUCGCGCAUCGAGGGCUCGAAAAAAUGCUCGGCUCCGGCUGGGCUUUCAACGCGACCCCAGGUCAGGCGGGGUUACCCGCUGAAUUUAAGCAUAUCAAUAAGCGGAGGA
rnacentral:misc_RNA from 1 species